UACGGAGGAUGCAAGCGUUAUCCGGAAUGAUUGGGCGUAAAGCGUCCGCAGGUGGCUGUGUAAGUCUGCUGUCAAAGAGCGAAGCUCAACUUCGUAAAGGCAGUGGAAACUACACGGCUAGAGUGCGUUCGGGGCAGAGGGAAUUCCAGGUGUAGCGGUGAAAUGCGUAGAUAUCUGGAGGAAUACCGGUGGCGAAGGCGGCAUCCUGGACCGGCAUUGACGCUGAGGAGCGAAAGCCAGGGGAGCAAACGGG
rnacentral:rRNA from 1 species